rnacentral:rRNA from 1 species
CCCUUAGAUGUCCUGGGCCGCACGCGCGUUACACUGAUGCAUUCAACGAGCUUAUAACCUUGGCCGAGAGGCCUGGGCAAUCUUGUUAACGUGCAUCGUGAUAGGGAUAGAUUAUUGAAAUUAUUAAUCUUGAACGAGGAAUUCCUAGUAAACGCAGAUCAUCAAUCUGCAUUGAUUACGUCCCUGCCCUUUGUACACGCCGCCCGUCGCACCUACCGAUUGGAUGGUCCGGUGAAGCCUCGGGAUUGUGGUUCUUGCCGCUUUAUUGUGGCGUGACCGCGAGAACUUGUCUAAACCUUAUCAUCUAGAGGAAGGUGAAGUCGUAACA